rnacentral:lncRNA from 10 species
CACCCCUCACUAGUCACAUAUCAAAUCCUGUCUCACCCCCUUACUAGUCACGUAUCGAAUCCUGGCUGACCCCCUGACUAGUCACGUAUCAAAUCCUGGCUGACCCCUUACUAGUCACAUAUCAAAUCCUGGCUCGCCCCUCAGUAGCCACAUAUCAAAUCCUGGCUCACUCCUCACUACUCACAUAUCGAAUCCUGGCUCACCCCUCACUAGUCACGUAUGGAAUCCUGGCUCGCCCCUCACUGGUCACGUAUCGCAUCCUGGCUCGCCCCUCACUGGUCACGUAUCGAAUCCUGGCUCGCCCCUCACUGGUCACGUAUUGAAUCCUGGCUCACCCCUCACUUGUCACGUAUUGAAUCCUGGCUCACCCCCUUACUAGUCACAUAUCAAAUCCUGGCUCGCCCCUCACUAGCCACAUAUCAAAUCCUGACUGGCUAACCCCUCACUAACCACAUAUCAAAUCCUGGCUCGCCCCUCACCAGUCACAUAUCAAAUCCUGGCUCGCCCCUCA